CUUGUAUAUUUGAUAAAGAAUCAUUUGUACAAUCAUAAAUCUGCUACAUGGGAAAUAGAAACAGUUCAGGUUUUUUUAAGUGUAUACCUUCACUGUUUGCAUUAAUGAUCACAAUAGACUGACAGAUGUGACCUUUACCGCAACAUGCAGGCAGCUGAGUGAACCACAAGAUGGCAGUCUAAUAUCUGGAGAGGUGAGUUUAUACGCCACAGAGCUGCAAGAAGUCUGGUCUGAUCAGGUUCAUGGGAUUUGUGGAUUUAACUUUAUAGAAAAGAAUUGAACAGAACGGACAAUGAGGACUAGAUGUUGUAUAUAGUAAAGUGCAUGUUAUGAGGCUUUAAAAACUAAUCAACUCACUACACUAUCAAUGACUGAUUGGAAAAUGUUGCCUUAAAUUUUUAAAGUUAGAUUUAAGUUACUAAUGCCAACAUGGUGAACCAUAAAGAAUCAAGCAAAUGAUCUACUUGCACUGUAAAAUAUGACAAAUUCCUCAUUCUUCAUUUCCACUGAUCAUAAACAUCAACUUUUCUUACUCAUUUUAAUAAAAAGAAUAAAAAAUCAUCCUUACUAAGAAAAAUUGAACAUACAAAAAACUUCAAUGUAGCGUUUGCCCCAUGCUUCAUGGUGAGUUAUAGCAUUUUCAAGCAGCUGCCAUAAUUCCCUUCUAAUUUUACCAGACUAACAACGUCAGCCCUUCUGGAUCUGGUUACUAUGAGACUGUAAAGACAGAUUUAGUCCUGCUUUGCUGUAAGUCACUGCUGACUGUGUGCACUAAUAAAACACAUUCAGUAAUUUGACAUAUAUGAGGUGGUCUGACACUUUCAGCUGAGACUGUGUGGGCAGUAAAACGAAAAAGGCAUGAACAGGAACUUAAUGAAUUCAUAUCAGCCACUGAAGAGUUUUUUAGGUCAUCGCUGUACAAAUCCUGAAAUCAAUUAGGAUGAAUCAGUUUUGAUGCCUAAAACUUGUAAUGACAGAUUAUUUACUAAUUUUUGUGUUGAGAUGGAAUUAGAAAAUGAGUAGGGUCAGGAUUUUAGGGGUCGAUAUGGAAAUGUUUUCUUCUGAGUUCAGCUUUUACAAGUGAAGUGCUGUCGGUUUACAUGUUUCUAUACGUUUAAUACACAUGUCUGGUUCAUCUACAACUUAAUGGUGUUUUUCCUGUAUUUUUCAUUCAAUAAUUGCCACUUUAACACCUUCUACUGUGUCUGGACCCUUCUACUACAGAGCCAUACUGUUUUAACAUACGCUAAAUGUGGUGUUGUCUUGCUGAAAUAUGCAGCGUUUUUCCUGAAAAAGGUAUUACAUGAAUUGAAGUAUAUUGUCCUCCAAAAUCUGUGUCUAUUAAUAAACAUAGAAGUUGCCAUUCCAGAUGUGUAAGAUAACUAUGCAAUGUGCAAAUAUACCGUACAUUUCCACGAGAAUCAAAUUCAACCUGUAUGUCAUGAAUGAUUAGAUUUUUUUUAGACUUCUCACAAAAAAAGGCCCCUUGGAUUCUCCCAUGGUGGAUAAAGUCUGAUUAAUUGCCUUGUACGGUGGACUGACAGCGUUGGGUGGUGACACAUCACAGCUAAUGCCUCUGUAUCUGUCACUAAUCAACACUGCCUGUGGAUGGCUGUCAGAGGUCACACUGCCCUUCAUUUCUGCUGCAGGCCACAAUGGCAACACCUCUGAGUCAUCCGGGUUAGAGUACCUAAUAAGCUCAGAUGUGAGACCUGGUGUUGAUGUGAACUUUACAAUCGGUUGACCUCUUGUGGUUGAACAAAAACUAGAGAAAAAAUAGAAGUUCCUUUUCAAAGACGGGUGGGUGUUUUAGAGUUUUAACCUUUGAAUAGAUGGGAUUUAAAGAGAAUGGUGAAACUGAGGCAGAGAUAAGAAAUCUGAAAGUCUGAAAAUGUUCUGUUUGUAGGGUCUGAGUGGACUUCCUGAACCAAAGAAGCUUGACUCAUCAUCAGCCCAUGACUGAAACUUCUCAGAAGUAGACAUUGGCUCAUAAAAUGAUUGUUUGUCAUGCUUUCAUUUGGAUUUGAAGUUAUGUAUUAGGGCAGCUUCGCCUUUGAUAAACAAGAUGGACAGAGAGAUGGGAAUAUGGAGAGUUUACUAAUUUGUGGCCUGGAAUCAAACCAGUGACUGCUGCUGCAAACACGAUGGCCUCUCUAUGUGUGGGGCACCUAUGAACACCAGGCCAUCGGCACACCAUUCGAUAUUGUUCCUGUCUUGCAUUUACG